rnacentral:rRNA from 1 species
GGGAAUAACGUUGGAAACGAACGCUAAUACCGCAUAAUCUCGGAAGAGUAAAGGUGGCGCCGCAAGGGCUACCGUCCAAGGAUUGGCUCAUGUCCCAUUAGCUAGUUGGCGGGGUAAUGGCCCACCAAGGCAACGAUGGGUAUGUGGUCUGAGAGGAUGAUCACACACACUGGAACUGAGACACGGUCCAGACUCCUACGGGAGGCAGCAGUAGGGAAUAUUGCACAAUGGGGGAAACCCUGAUGCAGCAACGCCGCGUGAGUGAAGAAGGCCCUUGGGUCGUAAAGCUCUUUAGCGAGGGAAGAGGGUAGGUACGGUGAACAAUCGUGCUUGCUGACGGUACCUCGAGAAUAAGCACCGGCUAAUUUCGUGCCAGCAGCCGCGGUAA